AUGUUGUGCAGCCAUGUCUUGAGGGUCAUGGAUAUACUUCAUCUGGAGGAAAUCUCUAAGCACCAUAUUGUCGAGCGGUGGACAAAAGAGGCAAGAGAUAUACUUCUGAAGCACUUGGUUCAGUACCAGAAAGACAAUUCAGCAAACUUGUCAUUCACAUGCAGAAGCGCGAAGCUAUACCUUAAAGCCAUGGAAGUCAUGCGGAUGGGCGAUGCAAGUGCUGCAUCUUUUGAUCACAUGUAUGCUGGUCUCGAAGCUCUGCUAGUGAGUGGAGCACCAUUGGCAGAGAAGAGGGAUGGGUUGGCAUUUGAGGACCGUUUGGAUGGAACGGUAGGUGGAAGACUGCAAGGCAACGUCGAGAUUGCUUUUGUUGAAGGAGACGAUGGUGCUGACCAGUGCCAUAGUGGUGGGCAAUCUGUUAGUGUGAAUGCCCUCCAGGGCUUGGAGCUCCAAACAAGCAUAGGGGGCCGGAAGGCCAACAAACAACAGGGGGAAGGCACCUUAUGA
rnacentral:rRNA from 1 species